rnacentral:rRNA from 1 species
AACGAACGCUGGCGGCAUGCCUAACACAUGCAAGUCGAACGAGAACUUCGGGUCUUGUGGCGCAGGGGUCGGUUACGCGAGGGGACAUGCACUCAGGUUUGGACUACCCUGUCGAACGGGGUGCGAAUACGGGACUAUGUCUACGGCCCAAUGAUUUCUCGCCUUUGGGUGGGCCCGCGUUGGAUUAGCUAUUUGGUUGGGUAAAAGGCUACCAAGGCGACGAUGCAUAGCUGGUCUGAGAGGAUGAUCAGCCACAGUGGGACUGAGACACGGCCCAGACUCCUACGUGAGGCAGCAGUGGGGAAUAUAGGAAGAUGGGCGGAAGGCUGAUCCACCGAUGCCGCGUGAGAGAUGAAGGCCUUAGGGUAGGAAAGCGCUUUUACCCGGGAUGAGAAUGACAGUACCUUGAGAAUAAGCUCCGGCUAACUCCGUG